GACGAACGCUGGCGGCGUGCUUAACACAUGCAAGUCGAACGGUCAACCGCUUCGGUUGGGAUCAGGGCCGAACGGGUGCAUAAGACGUUAACAAGCUGCCCCCGUCUCUGUAAUAACUCCAAGAAUUUGGGACUAAUGCCGUAAGAUCACCGCUUCUCGUGUGGCGGGUGGUGGAAUGGUGUGCCGGCUGGAGAUGGGCCCGCGGCGUAUCAGCUUGUUGGUGGGGUCGUGGCGUUCCAUGGCGACGCGGGGUAGCCGGCCUGAGCGGGUGACCGGGCACACGGGGACUGAGAGACGGACCAGACUCCUACGGGAGGCAGCAGGGGGGAAUAUUGCGCAAUGGGCGGAAGCCUGACGCAGCGACGCCGGGUGGGGGAUGACGGCCUUCGGGUUGUAAACCUCUUUCAGCAGGGACGAAGCGGAAGUGACGGUACCUGCAGAAGAAGCACCGGCUAACUACGUG
rnacentral:rRNA from 1 species